GAUGAACGCUGGCGGCGUGCCUAAUACAUGCAAGUCGAGCGAACGGACGAGAAGCUUGCUCCUCUGAUGUUAGCGGCGGACGGGUGAGUAACACGUGGAUAACCUACCUAUAAGACUGGGAUAACUUCGGGAAACCGGAGCUAAUACCGGAUGAUAUUUUGAACCGCAUGGUUCAAUAGUGAAAGACGGUCUUGCUGUCACUUAUAGAUGGAUCCGCGCUGCAUUAGCUAGUUGGUAAGGUAAUGGCUUACCAAGGCAACGAUGCAUAGCUGACCUGAGAGGGUGAUCGGCCACACUGGAACUGAGACACGGUCCAGACUCCUACGGGAGGCAGCAGUAGGGAAUCUUCCGCAAUGGGCGAAAGCCUGACGGAGCAACGCCGCGUGAGUGAUGAAGGUCUUCGGAUCGUAAAACUCUGUUAUUAGGGAAGAACAUAUGUGUAAGUAACUGUGCACAUCUUGACGGUACCUAAUCAGAAAGCCACGGCUAACUACGUG
rnacentral:rRNA from 1 species